GGGAAUGUAGCUCUGUGGAAGAGCACUUGCCUGGCAUGCAAGGAGCCCUAGUUCAAUCCCU
rfam:Neotoma lepida isolate 417 scaffold_9, whole genome shotgun sequence.